UACGUAGGGUGCGAGCGUUUAAUCGGAAUUACUGGGCGUAAAGCGUGCGCAGGCGGCUAUUUAAGCUUGCUGUGAAAGCCCCGGGCUUAACCUGGGAACUGCAGUGAGGACUGGAUGGCUGGAGUGUGGCAGAGGGGGGGUGGAAUUCCACGUGUAGCAGUGAAAUGCGUAGAGAUGGUGGAGGAACACCGAUGGCGAAGGCAGCCCCCCUGGGCU
rnacentral:rRNA from 1 species